AUCAGCAGGAUCUGGCAACACUGACUAAACCGGAAGUUAGCUGGCUCGGUGUAGACUUGACACAGAAGUAUAAACCAGACAUAGCUGUUCAGGGACCGCAUCCUUCGAAGGCUGCAUUUGAAGACCGAAUAUAAGGCCUUAUAUCCCGACAUUCAUUGCGCGCCGGUUGAUUGUCCCAGCGUAAAUAAUGGCGUCUGCUGUGGCUGCGGAGUUGAGCCCCCCGGAUUUUACCUAUAAAUGGAGCAAGGAGCAAACUGCCCUGUUCAUUAAACAGAGGGGGGAGAGCGACCACCUCUUCACUGGGGCAAAGUUUUCUGCCAACGUGGCUUGGAGGAUUGCAAGUGUCCAGAGUCAGGACAGGGUGUAGGGGGGAAGCCCACUGCUGCAACUUGGCCCUGGUUUGUCCUCAUGGAUGAGGUGUUGGGCUCAUCCUCUGGGGCCACAAUGUCACCAGCACCAAGGUAGAUGUUGUGGAGGAUGGCACAUGCUGUUAUUGGUGGUGAUGGCGCAUAGAUAAGAUGCUUGCCUUUGGUGUGGGAGACCUGGGUUCGAGACCUGGGUUCAA